rnacentral:misc_RNA from 1 species
UGUUACCUGUGCUGAUGAG